UUAGACAGUUACGAAAAAAAAGCCAACCUAAGACAGCUUCUCCCGUCCUUCGUCUUUCACGCCGCCGUGACCGCCCUUCUCUCGUCAUGCAGCGCCGCCGCUAGGAUCCUUCAACGGCGGUGCGUCCUCCUCACCCCCCAACGGCGGUGCAUCCUCCUCAUUCCCAACCGCAAGAUUUGAUGUGAACAACACCAGGGCAAAAAUAGGGACGAAGUGAAUCAGCUUCUGCUUGGACCCCUGUCUCGGCUUGUGUUUUCUGGAGGGUUUUUAACGAGUUUCGGACAAAUUCAUCGUAUCACCAAACAAUACGAGGUGUGCAAGUUUUGCCUUUUGCACUGUGCCAUCUUAGUAUCGAAUCAAGAUCAACUGAAGAUUCAUAGGCUGGUUACAGUUUUGCAAUGUGGUCUUAUAGAAUUGCUUGAGAAAAGAUUGUUGAUUUAGACUGAUAGGAACCUUGAAGCAUUUUGAGAUGCUGUAUUGUUUUCUGCUAAUGGCAAAAGAUAGAAUCCAUGCUUUAAAUUAAUUAACACCAUUUCUAUAAGCUUAUACUCUAAUGCUGACUCGGAUCGUGGAAAGGCUGUCAUGUAAUUCUGGAAAUCAUGUAAGUUGGAAAGUUCAAGUACACCUUAAUCCAUGUGUUUCUUAGUUGUAAGAGAAUUUUUAUGCCCGAACCUGUUCGAAAUACUUUCAUGUUUUUACCUAUGGUAGUUAAUAUUCCCCAGUCC